rnacentral:lncRNA from 1 species
GGCGGGCCUGCCCGCUUCCGUUCCUGCUCCGCGUGAGGAGAGUCGCGAAGCGCGCGCGGAGACGCGGCAGCAAUUGCUUUGCUGCCCUUCCUCUCCUUGGAAGAUGGCAAGGCCUACCAUCCUUUCUUCCGGCCUUUGGGCCGUCAGGCAGUUGGUUGGGACCCGCCCCUACCUUCGUUGAUUACUACUGAGCUUCUGUGGAGCAGUAUCAAAAGGGGCUCACCAAGCUAAAAGGUUUGGAGUCAUCAGAAGUUUUAACUAGGAGAGUGAUUUUACAUUUGUGUGGAGCAACAUCAUUCAGGUCAGCCUGGGCAACAUUGUGAAACCUCAUCUUUACAGUAAGUAGAAAAAUUAACCAGUUGUGGUGGUGUGUGCCUGUGGUCCCAGGUACUUGGGAGGCUGAGGCAGCAGGAUCAUUUGGACCAGAGAGGUAGAGGCUGUAGUGAGUGCCCUGAUUGCUGCCACUGCACUUCAGUCUGGCAACAGAGUGAGACCCUGUCUCAAAACAAAAACAUUACUCAGGGAUGAAGAGAAUGGAUUGGAAGUGAGAAGACUGAAGACAGGGAGUCCAAUUAAUUAGACUAUGGCAGUAGUCCAGGUGGAAGAGGUUAAGGUCAUGCAGUAGGACAUAAUAGGGCUGAAGAAGUAUGGAUGGAAUUGACAAACUUUUAAAGGGUAGAAUUCACAAGAUUUGAUGAACAAAUGCAUGUAAGGGUAAGAGAAUAUAUACAAUGCAUUGUAAGGGACUUACUGCUAUAAUUAACCACUGUAUGUGUCCAAAAUGUGUGUGUAUAAAGUCAUUAGUGAUAACAG